GCUUUGAGAAGCUAAACUUUUAAGCAUUGGUCUUGUAAACCAAAAAUAAGAUAAAUUUCUCCAAAGCU
rnacentral:tRNA from 1 species